UAGGGAAUCUUCGGCAAUGGACGAAAGUCUGACCGAGCAACGCCGCGUGAGUGAAGAAGGUUUUCGGAUCGUAAAACUCUGUUGUUAGAGAAGAACAAGGACGUUAGUAACUGAACGUCCCCUGAUGGUAUCUAACCAGAAAGCCACGGCUAACUACGUGCCAGCAGCCGCGGUAAUACGUAGGUGGCAAGCGUUGUCCGGAUUUAUUGGGCGUAAAGCGAGCGCAGGCGGUUUCUUAAGUCUGAUGUGAAAGCCCCCGGCUCAACCGGGGAGGGUCAUUGGAAACUGGGAGACUUGAGUGCAGAAGGGGAGGGUGGAAUUCCAUGUGUAGCGGUGAAAUGCGUAGAUAUAUGGAGGAACACCAGUGGCGAAGGCGGCUCUCUGGUCUGUAACUGACGCUGAGGCUCGAAAGCGUGGGGAGCAAACAGG
rnacentral:rRNA from 1 species